rnacentral:rRNA from 1 species
AAACUUUAUAUAGCGGGAACCGGAGAUAAGGGAAGGACGCGUGCUAGCAUCAUAUGCUGGCUGUCCAGGUGUACACCUGUAGCAAGGGCCGGCAAGACCGGUGCCAGCCGCCGCGGUAACACCGGCGGCCCGAGUGGUGAUCGUGAUUAUUGGGUCUAAAGGGUCCGUAGCCGGUUUGGUCAGUCCUCCGGGAAAUCUGAUAGCUCAACUAUUAGGCUUCGGGGAUACUGCCAGACUUGGAACCGGGAGAGGUAAGAGGUACUACAGGGGUAGGAGUGAAAUCUUGUAAUCCCUGUGGAC